rnacentral:rRNA from 1 species
ACACGACUACAUUAGUACCCCGGUAGUCCCAGCCCUAAACGAUGCGCGUUAGGUGUAUCGGUGACCACGAGUCACCGAGGUGCCGAAGGGAAACCGUGAAACGUGCCGCCUGGGAAGUACGGUCGCAAGGCUGAAACUUAAAGGAAUUGGCGGGGGAGCACCGCAACGGGAGGAGCGUGCGGUUCAAUUGGAUUCAACGCCGGACAACUCACCAGGAGCGACGGUUACAUGAAGGCCAGGCUGAUGACCUUGCCUGAUUUUCCG